UGGUGCUUGCACCGCCUGAUUAGUGGCGAACGGGUGAGUAACACGUGAGUAACCUGCCCUCCACUUCGGGAUAACCUCGGGAAAUCGUGGCUAAUACCGGAUAUGAGCACUCAUCGCAUGGUGAGUGCUGGAAAGAUUUAUCGGUGGGGGAUGGACUCGCGGCCUAUCAGUUUGUUGGUGAGGUGAUGGCUCACCAAGACGAUGACGGGUAGCCGGCCUGAGAGGGCGACCGGCCACACUGGGACUGAGACACGGCCCAGACUCCUACGGGAGGCAGCAGUGGGGAAUAUUGCACAAUGGGCGAAAGCCUGAUGCAGCGACGCCGCGUGGGGGAUGACGGCCUUCGGGUUGUAAACCCCUUUCAGUAGGGAAGAAGCGAGAGUGACGGUACCUGCAGAAGAAGCGCCGGCUAACUACGUGCCAGCAGCCGCGGUAAUACGUAGGGCGCAAGCGUUGUCCGGAAUUAUUGGGCGUAAAGAGCUUGUAGGUGGCUUGUCGCGUCUGCCGUGAAAACCCGAGGCUCAACCUCGGGCGUGCGGUGGGUACGGGCAGGCUAGAGUGUGGUAGGGGAGACUGGAACUCCUGGUGUAGCGGUGAAAUGCGCAGAUAUCAGGAAGAACACCGAUGGCGAAGGCAGGUCUCUGGGCCAUUACUG
rnacentral:rRNA from 1 species